GACGCUGGGAGGCUGGGGUAGGCCCAGAGCGAGGACGGGCCCGGACUGGGUAGUGGGGAUGUACCAGGGCCGGGUGCGGCGGGAGACGGCCCGGGAGGCGGAAGGUCGCGGACCUGCCCGACAGAAGAGUAGAUGAGGGGAGACCGAGGACGCCCGGGUCCGGGGAGCUUACGAGGAGGCCAGGAUCGCGGGUUCACGUGGGCACCUUGGAACACUGAAGAAGGCAUUUUCCGAACUCACUGUCCUACGGACUUAUUCUCCGCACUGUUUUCGCCUCCUUCGCCCUGUUCUCGUGACUGACAGGAGCAGGGGUCACAAGCAGGCAGCCCGAGAGCUCUGCUCACCUGGAAAAGCAUUUUUGUGUAGCUUAAAUGUGAAGGCCUCAGGCAGUGGCCUGUUGUCCUCCUCCACAUGCGCCCAUCUUCACUCUUUCAUGUGACUGGCCUGUUUUUGAAGGCAGGACCCUGUCACCCUUGGCUAGGCCAGGUCUUAAGAUAUGAAGACAAUGGGAUAACUGAGGCUGAUUUUGCUGUGUGGCCAUUAGACCUAGAAAUAUUGGUGUGAUUCUGGAGUUGAUUGCUCCACACGUUUAUUUAUUUAUUUUCCUUUUUUUCCCUCCUCUUCCUCCUCCUCUAUUCUUUAAAAACGUAUGGAAAUGUAUCCGGCAAUGUUUACUGUAAAAAAUAAUGUAUGGAAAUGACUACAAUUUGCUAAAAUAAAAAUCAUUGAGCACUUA
rnacentral:lncRNA from 1 species